rnacentral:rRNA from 1 species
AUUGAACGCUGGCGGCAUGCCUUACACAUGCAAGUCGAACGGUAACAGGUUAAGCUGACGAGUGGCGAACGGGUGAGUAAUGUAUCGGAACGUGCCCAGUCGUGGGGGAUAACUGCUCGAAAGAGCAGCUAAUACCGCAUACGACCUGAGGGUGAAAGCGGGGGAUCGCAAGACCUCGCGCGAUUGGAGCGGCCGAUAUCAGAUUAGGUAGUUGGUGGGGUAAAGGCCUACCAAGCCUACGAUCUGUAGCUGGUCUGAGAGGACGACCAGCCACACUGGGACUGAGACACGGCCCAGACUCCUACGGGAGGCAGCAGUAAGGAAUAUUGGACAAUGGGCGAAAGCCUGAUCCAGCCAUGCCGCGUGAAGGAUUAAGGUCCUCUGGAUUGUAAACUUCUUUUAUUUGGGACGAAAAAAGGGAAUUCUUUCCCACUUGACGGUACCAAGUGAAUAAGCACCGGCUAACUCCGUGCCAGCAGCCGCAGUAAGAC